rnacentral:rRNA from 1 species
AGAGUUUGAUCCUGGCUCAGAUUGAACGCUGGCGGUAGGCUUAACACAUGCAAGUCGAGCGGAAACGAAGAAUAGCUUGCUAUUCUGGCGUCGAGCGGCGGACGGGUGAGUAAUGCUUGGGAAUCUGCCUAGUCGAGGGGGACAACAGUUGGAAACGACUGCUAAUACCGCAUACGACCUACGGGUGAAAAGGGGCCUCUUCUUGAAAGCUCCUGCUAUUAGAUGAGCCCGCGUUGGAUUAGCUUGUUGGUAGGGUAAUGGCCUACCAAGGCGACGAUCCAUAGCUGGUUUGAGAGGAUGAUCAGCCACACUGGGACUGAGACACGGCCCAGACUCCUACGGGAGGCAGCAGUGGGGAAUAUUGGACAAUGGGCGAAAGCCUGAUCCAGCAAUACCGCGUGUGUGAAGAAGGCCUGAGGGUUGUAAAGCACUUUCAAUAGAGACGAAAAGCUUAGGGUUAAUAACCCUGAGUCUUGACUUAACCUAUAGAAGAAGCACCGCUAACU